AACAAACGCUGGCGGCGUGCCUAAUACAUGCAAGUCGAACGGGGAAAGCUUUCGGGUGAGUACUAGUGGCGCACGGGUGAGUAACGCGUGGAUAAUCUGCCUUAGAGUGGGGGAUAACUAGUCGAAAGAUUAGCUAAUACCGCAUAAGACCACAAGAACUGCGGUUCAAGGGGUAAAAGGUUUUUCGCUUUAAGAUGAGUCCGCGUAAGAUUAGCUAGUUGGUAGGGUAACGGCCCACCAAGGCGACGAUCUUUAACUGGUCUGAGAGGAUGAUCAGUCACACUGGAACUGGGACACGGUCCAGACUCCUACGGGAGGCAGCAGUAGGGAAUAUUGCACAAUGGAGGAAACUCUGAUGCAGCGACGCCGCGUGAGUGAUGAAGGCCUUCGGGUCGUAAAGCUCUGUCGCAGGGGAAUAACACAAUGAAGGUACCCUGUAAGAAAGGAUCGGCUAACUUCGUGCCAGCAGCCGCGGUAAGAC
rnacentral:rRNA from 1 species